CCUACUUUCUUCUCCCAAAACCCUAGCCAGUAGCCACAGACCCGAGACAGAGAGAGAACCACAUCAAGUCAUCAACGACGCGCGCGCUUGUCCUCCCUCCGGCGCCCCGUCGUCUUCCUCAUCCCUUCGGCCAGUCCUCCACCUCCGUCACGAGGCAGAUCGGCCCUGUGUUGAUUUCGAUCUUGACUUGCUCCUUUGCUCCUCUGUGUGUUGCAACCAUGGCUCGUUCCUUUGCCCCAUCCUUAUUGGUCCUUGCUACUUUGAUCGCACUGGUCUUCCCUCAACUAGGACUGUUUGCUGCAACCUUGACUCAUUCCGAGGGCCAAGAAAACGUUGAUACAUCUUUAUCGACCCCAACAUUGACACAUGAAUAUGAUGUCUUCGUUAGUUUUCGUGGGGAAGAUACCCGCACAAACUUUAAAGCCUAUCUCUUAGCCGCUUUUGACCGUAAAAGGAUUCGUGCUUAUCGAGAUGACAAAGACCUCCCUAGAGGGCGAGAGAUUGGACCCGAGUUAUUGAAGGCAAUUGAGACAUCAAGGAUUGCAGUUGUUGUGUUCUCGAAAAACUAUGCUACUUCUAGUUGGUGCCUUGAUGAGCUGGUGAAGAUCAUGGAAUGCAAAAGGCUGUUAAAUCAAAGCGUGAUGCCUAUUUUCUAUGAAGUGUCUCAAUCCGUGGUGCUAGAACAGAAGGAAAUUUUUGCGGAGGCACUCCUGAAUGGCCCCAUAGACAAGGUGAACAAUUGGAGAACUGCAUUGAAGGAGGCUGCAAACUUGGAAGGCUUCCAUUUAGAGCCAGAUAGGUGUGGGGAGUUGGCGGAUCAUUUUCUUCUUCAUAGCCUUGUAGCUUAUGAGUUGUGGUCUUUGGUGUUUUGCUUGAUUGGAAUUCAUUGGAUUAUGCCGCAUAGGGUUAUCGAGUUGUUUGAUUUUUGCAGUAGGUUAAGUUUAGUUCUCAUCGCAAUAUAGCUAUAUUUGGAGGCUUAUGCCACAUUACUUGAUGUGGUGUAUUUGGCAAGAACGGAAUGCUAGAAUCCUUGAGGGUGGUGAACGGUCUAUUAUCUAGUUUUAAAUCUUUUUUCUUUCAUACUCUCCUUGAAUGGAAUUUAGCUCUUCAGUCCUUUUCUUGUUUUUCCCUCCCUGUUUUACUUGAUCAUUGUAACUUUGGUUCUUGGUUUUUGCCCCCAAAGUACAUAAUACAUGAUUAAUGUUUAUCAGCCUCUGUUUUUUCAAUUACCGCCUCUGCUUUUUUCAAUCACCAAAUAGUCAAAACAGCAUCACAAAAAGAGUUUCUCCGUAGACUAGGUGUUGGGAGCACCAAACCUUAGUUCUUCUGUAGAACAUACAUUCCUCCUUAGUGGGUGGGAAUUGUUUCUCUUUGUGUGGUAUCCAAAGAAGGAGAAUGCUAUGUCUGAUAACGUAGCAGUUGGAAAACACAAUAUACUAUGCUUUUUGUGUUCUGAACAUCAUUACCGGCAGCAGUGCUCUUACCUCAGUUAGGUCUCUGUGUUGCAACCAUGGCUCAUUCUGUGGGCAAAGAAAACUUCGCUCCAUCCUUAUCAACCCCAAUAUUGACAUAUGAAAAUGAGGUCUUCAUUAGUUUUCAUGCGGAAGAUACCCGCACAAGAUUUACCGGCCAUCUCUUUGCUGCUUUAGAACGUAAAAGGAUUCGCGCGUCUGAACUGAUGAAGGCAAUCGAGGCAUCAAGGAUUGCAGUUGUGGUGUUCUCAAAAAACUAUGCUACUUCCAAUGGGUGCCUGGAUGAGCUGGUGAAGAUCAUGGAAUGCCAAAGGGUGUUAAAUCAAACGGUGCUGCCUAUUUUUUAUAAAGUGUCUCCGUCCGAUGUGCGAAAACAUAAGGGGAAUUUUGCGGAAGCAAUCAUGAAUGGCCCUGAAGACAAGGUGAACAUUUGGAAGACUACUUUGAAGGACGUUGCAAACUUGGCAGGAUAUUCCUUGAAUCGAGAUCGUCCAGAGCCAGACUUUAUAGAAGAAAUUGUCGAAACCAUUUGGAAAAUUCUAUACGUGGAAUCACGUACCAGUACCGUUCCACCCUGUCGUCAGAACGAUGUUCCUGGUCAAUGCUCUUCAUUAAAUAUUCCGCAAAAAGGUACUUUGUCGGGCAAAAUGCUAUUGCUGAGCGGACCCACCCUUUUUUUUUUUUUUUAAAAGACAAACAUGAAUAGGACUGAUUCCAUCAGUCUCGGUAUUGCUCCCACUUUCCCAUGCAAGUCCCUCUCAACUUUCAAGUCCAACUCAAAAAAAAAAAUAAUAAUAAUAAAAAGUCCCUUUCAAGUUCAUUUUACUAUUUCUUCAUGCUGUUACUAAAAGUCAGUGGUCCCGUUUUACGUCGUCUUCAACUGGUACAAACAAAGCCGAAUCGUCCCUUAGACGCCAUUUGCAUUUAAGGAUUCAUCCCUCUCCCUCCUUUUGUUCCCUGCUUUAUUCAUUGCCGUUGUUCAUUGUCAUCCUCUUUUUCCGAAUCUUGAUUUCUGUCCUAUUUACCUAAUUUUUUCUUCUUCUUCUCCUUCGCACAUUUCUGUCCUAUUCUGUUUUUCGUCUGUCCUUAAUUUGACUCACUUUCAGGAAACUUUUUGUUCUUUUUUUGGAGAAGACCAUUGUUAUUGUUUCUAAGUCGGGGGUUCUCUCUUCAAAAAAAAAAGAAAAAAGAAGUUAGGGGGUCUAAUGCAACAGCAAGUAUCUAUACUCUCUUUUAUUAGCUCAAGAAAGACUUUU